rnacentral:rRNA from 1 species
GAUGAACGCUGGCGGCGUGCUUAACACAUGCAGGUCGAACGAGAAGUGAAGACGGAAACCUUCGGGCGGAAGGCUUUAUUUCGAGUGGCGGACGGGUGAGUAACGCGUGGGUAACCUGCCUCAUACAGGGGGAUAACAGUUGGAAACGACUGUUAAUACCGCAUAAGACCACAGCACCGCAUGGUGCGGGGGUAAAAACUCCGGUGGUAUGAGAUGGACCCGCGUUCGAUUAGCCAGUUGGCGGGGUAACGGCCCACCAAAGCGACGAUCGAUAGCCGAUCUGAGAGGAUGACCGGCCACAUUGGGACUGAGACACGGCCCAAACUCCUACGGGAGGCAGCAGUGGGGAAUAUUGCACAAUGGGGGAAACCCUGAUGCAGCGACGCCGCGUGAGUGAAGAAGUAUUUCGGUAUGUAAAGCUCUAUCAGCAGGGAAGAAAAUGACGGUACCUGAGUAAGAAGCCCCGGCUAACUACG